UUAAAUUUCAAAGUAAAUUUUAUUAAAUUCGGUUCAGUAAUAAGGAAGUUGAUAUUUUAAAAAGUUCAGUAUCCCCUAAACCACUAUAACGGGCCUUAAAUUGGCCUAUUCACGUCCGCGCCAAAGUAAUCGGAUUUCACGGCUAUGUCGUGAUUCCCGUGAAAAUCGAAAUAGCAUGAGUUCACGGCUAUGUCGUGAGUCCCGUGAAAAUCCAAACAUUUUUGACAGUCAGACGAAAUUAUGUCACUUUCAUAUUCUUGGGUAAAAAUUUUGCUCGAUCGAGCUUCUUCCACCAGACGACUUUUUACCUGGUGAUGUCACGACUCGGAAGUAUUUUACCCGAGGUUUGCUGAAUUUUACUCGCCUGGAUGUGAUUUCCCAGCGCAGAGAUCUUUCGUCCCAUGGUUUUGCCUUAACCGCCAAGACGCUGAUUUUUGUAGUCAACUGAGACAGCUCAGGGAUACAAACACUACAAACACUGAACAUGGGGAGCCAAAAAGGAGUUAACGUUUUCGCGAUUUAGCGGGACAUUAUUUUACUAAAGUUUAGUUCUUAGUGCUACUUAAAGUUUAAGAGAAAGUAACCAUCUGUUUAAUCGUCACAUGAACAAUCAACUGUAAUUGAUAGAAAUGAACAUCUUUUAGAAA
rnacentral:lncRNA from 1 species